CAGAAAAGUCCUUCAAUAAAUUCAAC
rnacentral:piRNA from 1 species